CAAUUUUUUAUGUAUUAAACAUAAAAUCUAAAAUAUUCAUUACAAGACAUUAUCCUAGAACAUGUUCAUAUGACCAGACUAUUUGACAAGAGUAGUCAACCUGUUAAUCUUCUAUUUAUAAAUUUGUAAUGCAGGUACUGAUAGAAGUCAUUGGAAGAUUGUAUUCUGCAUAUAAUAGUCUAACAAACCUGUAGUGUAUUGCCGUACGACAAUCAUGAUGUUCAAGUUAAGGAUUAUAAAGUCAUCACGAUUUCUGGGACAUAGUGAAUGCACGCGAUAUCACAUUUAGUCAAUUUAACAUUUUAAGAUUGGCACCUUCAGAACUUUGAUUAAGUAAGUCAUCUGAAGUUAAAUAUUCGCCAAUCGAAGGUGCAGGUCAUGAUGUCAAGUAUAAAUGGAUAUGAUUUAAUGUUCUUUUUUCUCUGGGAAUGUAUAUCAACGACAUGGUGCUGUUAAACAACUACUUGGAAGAUUGAUAUUGGGAAUGAGUGGAGACUAGGAUGUAUUUUAAACAAUGAAUAAUGAUUCAUUCAUUGAGAACAAAAUAAUAAUCGCUCAUCUCAAACAUUAUUUUUACAUUUGGCUAUAUUGAUUAGAUUUAAACUUAAAACACUACAGCCGAACAUCCAACAUUUAAAUUUCAAAGAAAAGGUUGUUAUAUUAGGACAUACUUAAUAUUACAUGUUAAACUAUUAAUAUUUUGGACCUACAUAAACAAAAGACUGUCUGAAAAUUUAUUUCUUAAUUUAUGAACUCGAAAAACAGUAUUUCCAUAACUUCUUAUACUGAACAAUAGUUGGUUCGAUCUCAUGUUACCAUCUUUAAUAUAAAACAAGCGCAAAACUUUAUAGAUAAACAGGUGCUGUAUUAGUAAUAUGUUUAAUUGGUGCUAUAAUGGAAAGGAACUUUCUAUAUUUUGAUUGCUAAGAAUUAUUCUUAUGAAAUGAUUAUGAAGGCCACGUAAUUUAUUAAUAUUAUACUUAAAAGUUCCACACCGGCAUUGAAUCCCUAUUGUAAUUUUGUUACUAUCAGUUUUUGGAGUUCUAUACCCUCCGUACGUCUCUGCUUAAAGCUCCUGCUACCUCUUUGGAAAGGUUUUUGUAUUGCUGGUUAACGAAGAUUGUCUGUUUGCAGGGUUUACAUACAAUGUGAUACGUACUGAGGGCGAACACAAGUUUCAGUGUGACAAAUGCCAAAGGGUGUACAGGUACAAGGACAACUUGAUCCAGCACUUGCGCCACUACUGUGGGAAGGUUCCCCAGUACGCCUGUAUGUUCUGUAGCUACCGCACAUUACAAAAAGGGCAACUUCAAGAGACAUAUCCUGCUUAAGCAUGCUGGCUCUGAAGGGAGCCUCUAGACCCAAGGGAAAUACGAAACAUUACAACCGUUUACAGAAGGGCAGCUUCAAGAGACAUAUCCUGCUUAAGCAUGCUGGCUCUGAAGGGAGCCUCUAGACCCAAGGGAAAUACGAAACAUUACAACCGUUUACAGAAGGGCAGCUUCAAGAGACAUAUCCUGCUUAAGCAUGCUGGCUCUGAAGGGAGCCUCUAGACCUAAGGGAAAUACGAAACAUUACAACCGUUUACAAAAGGGCAACUUCAAGAGACACACCCUGCUUAAGCAUGCUAGCUCUGAAGGGAGCCUCUAGACCUAAGGGAAAUACGAAACAUUACAACCGUUUACAAAAGGGCAACUUCAAGAGACAUACCCUGCUUAAGCAUGCUGGCUCUGAAGGGAGCCUCUAGACCCAAGGGAAAUACGAAACAUUACAACCGUUUACAAAAGGGCAACUUCAAGAGACACACCCUGCUUAAGCAUGCUAGCUCUGAAGGGAGCCUCUAGACCUAAGGGAAAUACGAAACAUUACAACCGUUUACAAAAGGGCAACUUCAAGAGACACACCCUGCUUAAGCAUGCUGGCUCUGAAGGGAGCCUCUAGACCUAAGGGAAAUACGAAACACUACAACCGUUUACAAAAGAGCAACUUCAAGAGACACACCCAGUGUUUUUAUCGAAUAGUACAUUAAUUUAAUUGGUUUCAGGAGCCUUGUUCAAGAUGAUCCCUGACAAUUCGGGUGACCAGUUCCAGUGUUUAGCUUGCACGAGGAUCUAUCUUCACAAGGGCAACUUGAUAGAGCAUCAACGCUUUGAGUGUGUGAAGACACCACGGUACAUCGAGUGUUCACUGUAGGUGUAAAGAUCCUGUGAAAUAAAAGUCACACUAUUGAUAAA
rnacentral:lncRNA from 1 species